rnacentral:rRNA from 1 species
AGACCCGAAACCCGGUGAUCUAGCCAUGGGCAGGUUGAAGGUUGGGUAACACUAACUGGAGGACCGAACCGACUAAUGUUGAAAAAUUAGCGGAUGACCUGUGGCUGGGGGUGAAAGGCCAAUCAAACCGGGAGAUAGCUGGUUCUCCCCGAAAGCUAUUUAGGUAGCGCCUCGUGAAUUCAUCUCCGGGGGUAGAGCACUGUUUCGGCUAGGGGGCCAUCCCGGCUUACCAACCCGAUGCAAACUGCGAAUACCGGAGAAUGUUAUCACGGGAGACACACGGCGGGUGCUAACGUCCGUCGUGAAGAGGGAAACAACCCAGACCGCCAGCUAAGGUCCCAAAGUCAUGGUUAAGUGGGAAACGAUGUGGGAAGGCCCAGACAGCCAGGAUGUUGGCUUAGAAGCAGCCAUCAUUUAAAGAAAGCGUAAUAGCUCACUGGUCGAGUCGGCCUGCGCGGAAGAUGUAACGGGGCUAAACCAUGCACCGAAGCUGCGGCAGCGACACUAUGUGUUGUUGGGUAGGGGAGCGUUCUGUAAGCCUGUGAAGGUGUGUCGUGAGGCAUGCUGGAGGUAUCAGAAGUGCG